UACGAAGGGGGCUAGCGUUGUUCGGAUUUACUGGGCGUAAAGCGCACGUAGGCGGAUCGAUCAGUCAGGGGUGAAAUCCCAGAGCUCAACUCUGGAACUGCCUUUGAUACUGUCGAUCUGGAGUAUGGAAGAGGUGAGUGGAAUUCCGAGUGUAGAGGUGAAAUUCGUAGAUAUCGGGAGGAACACCAGUGGCGAAGGCGGCGAUCUGGACAGAUAUUGACGCUGAGGUGCGAAAGCGUGGGGAGCAAACAGG
rnacentral:rRNA from 1 species